GUAGGUGGCAAGCGUUGUCCGGAAUUAUUGGGCGUAAAGCGCGCGCAGGCGGUCCUUUAAGUCUGAUGUGAAAGCCCACGGCUCAACCGUGGAGGGUCAUUGGAAACUGGGGGACUUGAGUACAGAAGAGGAAAGCGGAAUUCCAAGUGUAGCGGUGAAAUGCGUAGAGAUUUGGAGGAACACCAGUGGCGAAGGCGGCUUUCUGGUCUGUAACUGACGCUGAGGCGCGAAAGCGUGGGGAGCAAACAGGGAUUAGAUACCCUGGUAGUCCACGCCGUAAACGAUGAGUGCUAAGUGUUAGGGGGUUUCCCGCCCCUUAGUGCUGCAGCUAACGCAUUAAGCACUCCGCCUGGAGAGUACGGCCGCAAGGCUG
rnacentral:rRNA from 1 species